rnacentral:rRNA from 1 species
UACGUAGGGGGCAAGCGUUGUCCGGAAUCAUUGGGCGUAAAGAGCGUGUAGGCGGCUCGAUAAGUCUGCUGUGAAAGUCCAGGGCUCAACCCUGGAAGGCCGGUGGAAACUGUCGGGCUAGAGUCCGGAAGAGGCGAGUGGAAUUCCUGGUGUAGCGGUGAAAUGCGCAGAUAUCAGGAGGAACACCAAUGCGAAGGCAGCUCGCUGGGACGUUACUGACGCUGAGACGCGAAAGCGUGGGGAGCAAACAGG